rnacentral:rRNA from 1 species
UACAGAGGUCCCGAGCGUUGUUCGGAUUCACUGGGGCGUAAAGGGUGCGUAGGUGGUGAGGUAAGUCGGAUGUGAAAUCUCCGAGCUCAACUCCGAAAUGGCAUUGGAAACUACCUUGCUCGAGGGUUGGAGGGGGGACUGGAAUGCUUGGUGUAGCAGUGAAAUGCGUAGAUAUCAAGCGGAACACCAGUGGCGAAGGCGAGUCCCUGGACAACUCCUGACACUGAGGCACGAAAGCUAGGGGAGCAAACAGG